rnacentral:rRNA from 1 species
AUUGAACGCUGGCGGCAGGCCUAACACAUGCAAGUCGAGCGGAUGAGUGGAGCUUGCUCCAUGAUUCAGCGGCGGACGGGUGAGUAAUGCCUAGGAAUCUGCCUGGUAGUGGGGGACAACGUUCCGAAAGGAACGCUAAUACCGCAUACGUCCUACGGGAGAAAGCAGGGGACCUUCGGGCCUUGCGCUAUCAGAUGAGCCUAGGUCGGAUUAGCUAGUAGGUGAGGUAAUGGCUCACCUAGGCGACGAUCCGUAACUGGUCUGAGAGGAUGAUCAGUCACACUGGAACUGAGACACGGUCCAGACUCCUACGGGAGGCAGCAGUGGGGAAUAUUGGACAAUGGGCGAAAGCCUGAUCCAGCCAUGCCGCGUGUGUGAAGAAGGUCUUCGGAUUGUAAAGCACUUUAAGUUGGGAGGAAGGGCAGUAAGUUAAUACCUUGCUGUUUUGACGUUACCAACAGAAUAAGCACCGGCUAACUUCGUGCCAGCAGCCGCAGUAAAAC